GUGCACGGUUUGUCAAUGCGUCUGGCUGCAAACCAGAAGGUUGGUGGUUCAAGCCCAUGCAGAGACA